rnacentral:lncRNA from 1 species
UAUUUUUAUUUUCUUUGCAUAACAAAUCCUAUAAACACAAAAAUAACGUAAAUAGCUCAAAAAUGUAAGGAACUAACUAAGAAAAGACGAGUGAAUUCGAAGUAAAAAUAUAUAUAAAUAUGAUCCGAUCAAAUACCCCCACACUUAACUUUUGCUAGUCCUCGAGCAAAACCAAGAAAACUAGAAAAAGUACUAACAUGAAAAACAUUAGUUUCCCCCUAUGUGACCCUCAUAGAAUUUCAUUCAAGAAAACAAAUCAUCAAGAACCAUAGCUAGCAUCAAGGAACUAAUCCAAGUUCAUCUUCCUUAUUCAAAUAUUAGCAGUAAUCUUUGAAUCAUCCUUGAAGUGUAGUGUGUGAGAUAGCCAUACUAAUGCAAUUUCAAGUUUUUAUUUUUAAAAUCAUCAUAUGCAAACUAGUAACCUUCUCACGGGAUAUACACUCAAUCACAUAUGUGUUUAGUUUUAGUGUGUUUCGCUCAAAGAAACAAAUGUGAAAUUUCUACCAUAAGCUUGCAUAAAGAUCACUUCUCCACAGUCAUAAUUGCAAAACUUAAAUCAAGAGGACUUUUAUUGGAUGUAAUGAGGCUUAGGGAUAGGGUUAUUGAAACGAAAGAAUAGGAAAACACAAGUUCCAAGCUACAUUUCAAGCAAUUCUUUUCUUUAGAUUUAUAAGAACUCAAGCUCUCCAGCAAUUCUUCUAGCACCUCCAACCAUACUCUUAAACUGAACUUUAAAAACUUUUUAUUUUCUUUUUAUACAAUCUUUCUUUUUUUUUUUUUUUUUUUUUUUAAAUCACAAACAUGAAAUACCCCCACACUUAUUCUUUUGCCAAACAUCUUCACAGUACUUCACAAACGUUUCUCAUAAGACAAUUUCGCAUUGCUCACUUGGAAAGGGUAAGGAAAAAUGUUUCAGGCAUAAGGGUAGACAUAUCUGGUGAUAAGAAAUAAAAGGCUCAACAUACACGGCUCAAAUUGGCAAUCUAAUGAUAUCAUUUUUCUUUGGGAAACAUAGUUAUUUGGGCCAUAGUGGUAAACCUAAUGCCUCUAUCAUUUCCAAGUUCAUGCAAUCAAUGACAAACAUUUCGAAAGAUCGUUACGCAAGUUCUAGAGAUGUAUCUCACAUAAGUUCAUCACACAUGAAAGAAUAGGAGUGUAUGAAAAAUGCACACACUUUCAAUAGGCUCAAAAACUCACAUAGGAUGUAUAUGGUCACUAAAUUCACAUAUGAAGCUUUAAGUCAUACUUUAGUUUCACAUUAACAAGGCUAUGUGCAUUUGGUUUUUCAAAGAUGGUCAAACAUGUACAAAACUAACAAGAGAAUUAGGAAUUUCACCAAACACAUGUUAACUAAGUUCUUGAUGAUCAUGGUUCAAAUUU